AUGGCCGGCCGGCUCGCCGACUACUUCCGUAUAGGUUUUUAUUCUGUGGUGCAGCAAAGCACUAGCCAGACCCAAGCCAUCAUGAAGCACCUCCUACUCUCUUGCACCUGUCUCCUACUCUGUGCUGUAGUCACACCGGUGACUGCCGACAUUCUGCGUGAAGCUGAAGCUCUUCUGAGUUGGAAGGCUAGCUUGGACGGCGCCGACGAGUCCCUAAGCUCAUGGUCAUUGGCCAACUCCAGCGGCGUCUGCCACUGGAUGCACAUCAGUUGCAACUCUGCCAGGAGCACCAUCGUCAACCUCAACAUCAGCGGUGCGAGUCUGAAUGGCACACUUGACAAGUUCGACUUCUCGGCUUUCCCCAACCUGAACAAGCUCAUCCUAUUUCAGAACGGUCUGCAUGGCAACAUUCCAGAAGGGAUCGGCGACCUGACAAGCCUGGCGCGGUUGCGGAUCAGCAGCAACUGGUAUGUAACUGGUACAAUUCCCCGUGGCAUUGGCCGGCUGAAGCAGCUCACUGAACUGCAACUGGGAGGUUUGGGUCUUGAUGGUGCGACGCUACCUGAAGAGAUUGGUAACUUGACAAGCUUGACGAAGAUUGCGCUCUACUCAAUCAAUUUGACUGGAUCAAUCCCGUUAACAUUCGGGAGACUGAAGAAGCUCCGGUUGCUGAACCUGAGAAACAACAGUCUGACAGGGCGCAUCCCGCUGGAGAUUGGUAACAUGACAGAAUUACAUCGCAUGGACCUGACGCGGAACUAUUUACAUGGCCAGAUACCAGGUACAUUCUCUCGUUUGGUAAAGCUAAAUGGCUUGUUGCUGUCAGAAAAUCAGCUCGGAGGCGACGUCAUCCUUGAGCUAGGGAAUAGCAGCAGGCUGUCUUAUAUCAACAUCGCAAAAAAUAGCUUCUCUGGGGUCUUCCCGCCGUCCAUUUGCGCGGGAGGGGCACUGGUUACGGUCCUUGCUGCAUACAAUGGAUUUACAAGCCUUCGCAGCCUGACCUUUCAGAACUGCACGACCCUGGAGCACAUUGACUUCACAGAAAACAAAAUUGUUGCAGACCUAAUGGCUUGUUUUGGCAAGCCUCCAGAACAACUUCGAGGGUUAACUGUCAGUAAUAACCAUCUGUAUGGCACACUUCUGACAGAUGAUGGUGAGGUAUUCCUCUGCAACUCUACUAGGUUAUCACUUCUGGACCUAUCAAAUAAUGCCUUAAAUGGAGACCUCUCCAACUCCAAGUGUUUAUGGAACAUGCGGCAUUUGGAAUUCAUGGAUUUGUCCAGUAACUCGCUCAGUGGUGUAGUUCCGUUCUUGGCGACGCCUAACCGGAAUCUUCAGUCUCUACACCUAGCGAAUAACCAUUUCAGUGGAGCCUUUCCUUUGGUUCUUAAGAAAAGCAAGAGACUUAUCACUCUAGAUCUGGGAGGCAAUAAUUUCUCAGGUGGAAUACCUUCUUGGAUAAGCAAGAGCUUGCCUGAACUAAGAUUUCUUUUACUGUCAUCAAACAUGUUUGAUGGCAUCAUACCAUCACAGAUAUUACAAUUUCGUCAACUCCAGAUAUUGGACCUGUCAAAAAACAAGUUCACUGGACGGAUUCCAUCCAAUUUUGGUAACUUUACUGGCAUGAUCCAAGAACAGAAAAAUGGGAACGGCACAUACUGCUACCUGCCAGCAGAGCAGCUUCGUAUAGUCCUGAAGAAUGAGGGUUAUCUUUACAACUUCACGAUAUCGUUCAUAGUGGGUACCUAA
rnacentral:rRNA from 1 species